ACGGCGUGAGCAACAUCUCAAUCCCAGCGGCGAGCAGCGGACGGGUUCCUUCGGCAGAUUCCGACAGCGCGGUCUAAUGCAGGGCUCGGCGAUCAUUGGGUGUAGCGGGCCGUGGAGAACGACGAAGAUAACCACGCGUCUGGAACACCGGCCUCAGUUCCUGCGGCGCGGCCAUGGAGAUGGACCCCCAGUCAUCGCCUCUCCGUGGCAUACCAUCAUCGCCGGUCGGGGUUCAUGUAGUGGAACACCACCGCUACAUUUAACCUGAAGCCGGUCACCAAUAAUGCCACCCAAGAGGAAUUCCAGCUCCCUCGACACGGUCUUCGGCGAACCAGCGGCACAGGACCUGCUACUGCAGAUGACGUCAUCCCCGUAUGCUACUGCCGGAACUGCUCGGCAUCACCUCCGCUGUUCUCGGACAGGCAGCUACGCCUAAUUUGGCGCCUAACCUUGACGGUACCGAAGAUUUCCAACCGCAGGGACCCAAAGUCCGACUUCCCAUCGGCUUGGACGCUCACCGAACUAUCGUCCGCUGCCCCUGGCUGACUCCUUCUGGUGAUAUCCUGCAUUUGCCAGACCUUGGCGUGAAAAUGGAACCCGAGAAAGGGACAGAGGAGGGACGACACGUUUUCGAAGAACGUGUCGUCCUUCCUGUCCCUUUGUCGGGUUCAAUUUUUUUUUUUUUUUUUUUCGCCAUGUACCAGCUGUCCUGCACGUUUCUGCCAUUGCCAGACCUUUGAAAAGUCUCCCAUUUUCUACUACGAGGGAACCUGAAGCUUGUUCGGCCGUAUAGCGUGGGAAAGAAAUGCAUCUGGGCGACUGUUCCUGGCAGUGGAUACAUUACGACGCAAUGAGUCUUCUGCAGGGAACAGUGAUGUAUCCAAAUAAACAUGCUGUUGCAAUGAAGCUCCCCAUU